UUACCUGUAAUAAAACAGAGAAAAUGGUCGAAAUUGAUUUUAAAAAGUGUUUUGAAAAAUUACAGUAGUUUCAGGGCUUGUUAGAGAGAUAAUAGUUGAUUUUUCCAGAUUGUUUAUGUACAGAACUACAUUUCGAGUAUCGAAUGAAUAUUGUCUUGCCAAGUUACCAGUCAAGGAGGAUCUUAUCAUCAUAAUAGAUGAAUCAGGAACUAAGUGAUAAGAGAAGUGUAUGCUUGUUGCAACUGUAGCCAGAAAUCUGUAGUAUAUGUAAAGUUCUCUUUUAAUGCACGGCCUGAUUGUUACGGAGCUCGACUCACAAUCUGAGGGUCAUGAGUUUGAUUCCCCAUUACCGAACAUGCUCAUUCUGUGUGGUUGCCAUCUGGACCGUCCACCUGGGUGUAAAAAUUCUUGGCUUACAAGAUUACCAGCUGACUCCAAACUAUUGAGAUUAAGGUUUUUACGGAAAAAAGACAAAGAAUAAAAGAGCAGGAAAAGUAGACAGUGUUUUUUGUAAUAUCUGUGGAAAACAAUAUUCCUCAAAAAAGUCUUUAUCAGCACAUCGGCAUUAUCAACAUAGAAGUCAUCGCAACUUCUCAUGUCAGUAUUGUGGAAAGAUUUACACUAGAAGAACAACACUACAGUAUCACCUCCUCAUUCAUAAUUAGUCUUCAUAAUAUUUUUAUUAGUGGAAGCUACUUUUUGUUUUACUUAAGUACCACGUGAAGAUCUUAACUAAAAGAACAAUUUAAUUAUCAUUUCAUCAUUUAUAACUAACUUUAUGUUGUUGCAUAUGUAAUUUUACUCUCUUUAAGAGUUGAAAAUCAUCCUUACUGGAUGAGCAUCACUGAAAUACUAAUUCACAACCAAGUUUGUAUUGUUGACCAAUUUUUCUUUAUUAUUGAAAAGCUUUUAUUAAACAUUUUUAGUAUUAGAUGCUAAUCACUAUUCCUGAUUAAGUAUUGACAGCAGAUUCCCUGUUUUUGAGAACCUUGUAAAGGUAUAUUUCAAACUUAAACCUAUGCCUAGUAAAUGUAAUAAUAUUUCAUUAAUUUUAGUGUCAUUGCUUUUAAUUGACACUUCUUAUAUAUUGUUUAAAAAAUUUGAUAAAAACAUGGUUGUUAUUGUUAUAUUUGAGUAAAUUUUGCUGUUUAAUAUAAUUUGAUAAUCUUGUCACUGUAUAGAUGUAAGAUCAUGGAGAACAAAACUGGUAUAUAAAAGUCUUUAACAAUUUAUUGUGACUUGAUUUGUUUUAUGUUUACUUCAAAAGACAGUGAGUAAAAUAUUAGCUCAUAUACAAUCCUAGUGAAGCACAAUAUUUUUGUAUGCUUUGCUGUAGUGUGUCAGUCUGUUCAAAAUUGAAAAUCUUUAUUGACACAGAUUGUAGCGUACAUGUGUCAUUUUUGAGAAAUUAGUGAUAGAAAACAAAUUGCAUUUACAAACACAAUAUCUAAUAAAAUAUGGAUGUCAAAUUAAUUAAUGAUAAGAUUUUCAUAUACAAACACAUAUAUAUUUAU
rnacentral:lncRNA from 1 species